AGCGAACGCUGGCGGCAGGCCUAACACAUGCAAGUCGAACGAACUCCUCGGAGUUAGUGGUGGACGGGUGAGUAACACGUGGGAACGUGCCUUUAGGUUCGGAAUAACUCAGGGAAACUUGUGCUAAUACCGAAUGUGCCCUUCGGGGGAAAGAUUUAUCGCCUUUAGAGCGGCCCGCGUCUGAUUAGCUAGUUGGUGAGGUAAAGGCUCACCAAGGCGACGAUCAGUAGCUGGUCUGAGAGGAUGAUCAGCCACAUUGGGACUGAGACACGGCCCAAACUCCUACGGGAGGCAGCAGUGGGGAAUCUUGCGCAAUGGGCGAAAGCCUGACGCAGCCAUGCCGCGUGAAUGAUGAAGGUCUUAGGAUUGUAAAAUUCUUUCACCGGGGACGAUAAUGACGGUACCCGGAGAAGAAGCCCCGGCUAACUUCGUGCCAGCCGCCGCCGUAA
rnacentral:rRNA from 1 species